rnacentral:lncRNA from 1 species
GGCAUCUACCAAUGCCACCAGUGGGUCAAAAUUAGCUAACAAUGCUCGACUCCAGUAUGGCUAGUUUUAUUCGUCAAGACAAGCUCAACAUUACACGAGGGCCCCCUAGAAUUAAGAUUUAUGUGUGACACGCUUACCUUUAGCGUUAAUAAUAUUGUCCAACAUUGCUUGAUUAAUGUCAGCUAUAACGUUAAGGUAUUUCUACAUACGGGCGCCGCCAUAUUUUUUUCUUGACAUGUUUCCGGUUCUAUCGAAAAUAGUUCUCCCUUCGUUUGAUCAGACACUUUUAGUUCCGACUAGACAAUGACGCCUUGAUCACACCGAUAGUACUCCUGMGCAAAAUAGAACGCAGCAUCAUCUAGAUAUGGGUGCAACAAAAGUUCAACAUUCACCUACUGCUACCAUUUCUGUCAAGUCGUCUACGAAUACAGUUUGACGCAUACAUUUUUUAAAUCCUAUGUUUAGCACCACAUAGAACGCAUUGCAACUGCCUCUGCAAUGCAGCGUUCCAUUGGAUUGAAUGUACUUCUGGAGUCCCGGAAUGACGACACUGUCAGUGUGAUCGAGGCGUGAGUCCCUAAGAAGAGGCCUGUGCAGAGAGGUAGAAUCAUGUUCCCUACUGCACUACCUCCCUUCUCCGAGUCAGACUGUGAGAGAAACAGCCCCUGUCAUUGCAGAUUUCAUCCACUUCAGACAUGUUUCGUGUGUGGAUCAAACUCUGUCUCCUCUUGCCAGGGGUAAGUAGCUUCCUGAUCCACAACACCCUCCACAGCCUGUGUUGGAGGACUUCCCCAAGACGG